GCGUCAGUGUGCAAUAGAAUAUCUAGACUUGGGUGCUUGUGUUCCUUAAAAGAUGGGGGUGGCAGUUUUUGCGGGUUGGGGCUGUUUUGGGAGUGACUGCACAGGUUGUCGAGAAACUGUAUAGUGGAUGUAUUAACCCCUACAGCCACCUGCCUGGUCACGUACGUCUGUGGUGGUGUUCGUGACACAGAGAUAGGAAAAAUACUUUCACUUUUGUAUUCCCUCACCCAUAGCACAGUUAGGAGCAAAGGGAAUGAGCAGAAAAGGAGCAAACUGAGUACUGACAGAGAAAGCACCAGAGAAGGAGACUGACGGGAUUGCAAUGGGAAUCAUUAUUACAUUUGUCUUACAUACAUUAUAUUGGGUUUUUAAGAUUGCGAUGGGAAUCACUAUUACAUUUACAUUAUAUUGGGUUUGUAUGAAGAUUGCCCAGUUCAUUCCAGAAGGCAUCAAGGAAAGAGUAGAGAAUUACUUACACGUGAGAUCCCAUUUACGUAUUUUGUUUUAAAACAGUUAGAAAGCAACAGGUUUCUCAAAGACUGCAACAAAAACCAUCUCUGUGAGCCCCCCCAUACCAUGUUGUUUCAGCAGUUUCAUGUUGGUUUGGUCAUAUUAACAUUUCUCUAGUCAGUCCCACAGGAAAGUCCUAUUCUUACUGAUGUAGACUCUUCUCAUUUUCAACCUUCUUCAUGUUUGGUCACAUCCAGUGGUGCUCACCUGCAGACCUCCCAAACUCUUAGGGGCAGAUUUAUCAAAAUGUGAGU